rnacentral:lncRNA from 1 species
CCUGCUAAUUUACAAACACCUAGAUAUCUGGAAUAGUAACUAACACAGAGCUCACUAAUAGUUGAGUAAUUAAUAGUUAAACAUUGGCAUUUAACAAAAUGAUGUUUUCCCCCUUUUCUACCCAAGCAAUGAGUUUAAGUUGAAAAUGCCCAAAAUGGCUUGAAAUGGGAGGAAAUCAUUCCAGACACCACGUGUAUUUAAAAGGCAGUGCCACUUGUGGGCGUUCUUCAUUGCUAUCAUUAACCAAGGAUCUCCCACAGGGCUCUUUUGAAUAGGAAACUCUGUGAGAGCACUUAAAAUAUCAUUGAGUUUAUAAGGAAUCGAUUAAGAACUAAUUCUUUUAGAAACCAAUCUAUUGCA